rnacentral:snRNA from 1 species
AUACCUUUCUCGGCCUUUUGGCUAAGAUCAAGUGUAGUAUCUGUUCUUAUCAGUUUAAUAUCUGAUACGUGAGCCAUUGGCUCACAUGAUAUUAAAUUAAUUUAUUUAGGGGAAGGGCCCACCACAGUAGCUUGCUAUUGGGGCUCUCGAGCGUUGCACUACUGCAUGGGCGUGGUGCAUCCCAU